rnacentral:rRNA from 1 species
AUUCCAGCUCCAAUAGCGUAUACUAAAGUUGUUGCAGUUAAAAAGCUCGUAGUUGAAUUUCUGGAUGCGAAAGAUGGUCGGCACCUCACGGUGUCUGCACCUAUCAUUCGCGUUCAUCCUCGGGAGGAACGUGUGGUCUCUUUAGUGAGCCCGCUCGGGAAUCUCGUCAUUUACUGUGAGCAAAAUAGAGUGUUCAAAGCAGGCUUAUGCCGUUGAAUAUAUUAGCAUGGAAUAAUAAGAUACGACUUUGGUCUAUUUUGUUGGUUUGCAUUCCAAAGUAAUGAUUAAUAGGGAUAGUUGGGGGUAUUCGUAUUCAAUUGUCAGAGGUGAAAUUCUUGGAUUUAUGGAAGACGAACUACUGCGAAAGCAUUUACCAAGGAUGUUUUCAUUA